AUUGAACGCUGGCGGCAUGCCUUACACAUGCAAGUCGAACGGUAACGCGGGGCAACCUGGCGACGAGUGGCGAACGGGUGAGUAAUGCAUCGGAACGUGCCCAGUAGUGGGGGAUAGCCCGGCGAAAGCCGGAUUAAUACCGCGCACGACCUACGGGUGAAAGCGGGGGACCGUAAGGCCUCGCGCUAUUGGAGCGGCCGAUGUCAGAUUAGGUUGUUGGUGGGGUAAAAGCCUACCAAGCCGACGAUCUGUAGCUGGUCUGAGAGGACGACCAGCCACACUGGGACUGGGCAACGGCCCAGACUCCUACGGGAGGCAGCAGUGGGGAAUUUUGGACAAUGGGGGCAACCCUGAUCCAGCCAUGCCGCGUGCGGGAAGAAGGCCUUCGGGUUGUAAACCGCUUUUGUCAGGGAAGAAACGCUCUGGGCUAAUACCCCGGGGUAAUGACGGUACCUGAAGAAUAAGCACCGGCUAACUACGUGCCAGCCGCCGCCGUAACAC
rnacentral:rRNA from 1 species